rnacentral:rRNA from 1 species
CCUACGGGGUGCAGCAGUGGGGAAUAUUGGACAAUGGGCGAAAGCCUGAUCCAGCCAUGCCGCGUGUGUGAAGAAGGCCUUCGGGUUGUAAAGCACUUUCAGUGGGGAAGAAAGCCUUGGGGCUAAUACCCUCGAGGAAGGACAUCACCAACAGAAGAAGCACCGGCUAACUCCGUGCCAGCAGCCGCGGUAAUACGGAGGGUGCGAGCGUUAAUCGGAAUUACUGGGCGUAAAGCGCGCGUAGGCGGUCUGAUAAGCCGGUUGUGAAAGCCCCGGGCUCAACCUGGGAACGGCAUCCGGAACUGUCAGGCUAGAGUGCAGGAGAGGAAGGUAGAAUUCCCGGUGUAGCGGUGAAAUGCGUAGAGAUCGGGAGGAAUACCAGUGGCGAAGGCGGCCUUCUGGACUGACACUGACGCUGAGGUGCGAAAGCGUGGGUAGCAAACAGGAUUAGAUACCCCAGUAGUC